rnacentral:sRNA from 1 species
UUUUUUGGUAAUGCAACAUCAUAUGUAUAUAUAUUAUAUA